GAUGAACGCUAGCGGCAGGCCUAAUACAUGCAAGUCGAACGGUAAGGCCCUUUCGGGGGUACACGAGUGGCGGACGGGUGCGUAACGCGUAUGCAACAUACCUUCAAGCGGGGAUAUGCCAGGGAAACUUGGUGCAACACCCCAUAGCAUUUCGGGACCGCAUGGUCUUGGGAUUAAAAUAUUUAUAGCUUGGAGAUUGGCAUGCGUGACAUUAGCUAGUUGGCGGGUAACGGCCCACCAAGGCGACGAUGUCUAGCUGGUCUGAGAGGAUGAUCAGCCACACUGGGACUGAGACACGGCCCAGACUCCUACGGGAGGCAGCAGUAGGGAAUAUUGGACAAUGGGGGGAACCCUGAUCCAGCCAUGCCGCGUGAGGGAAGAAGGGUCCUCUGGAUUGUAAACCUCUUUUUAGGCGGGGGUACAAACCGUGCACUAUACGUGCAGCUGAGGGUACCCGCAGAAUAAGCACGGCUAACUCCGUGCCAGCAGCCGCGGUAAU
rnacentral:rRNA from 1 species